UUUGGGAGAGGGGGAGAGGGGACUAGGAGAAAGUACCCAGAAAGGACAAGUGACACCCUCAAGCCGGGCCUUCCUGACCUCACAUGACAUGCCUUAGUGAACUGCUGCCUCUCCGUGAAGGAUGAGUCGGGGAGGGGCUCACAGGCCAGGAGGACAGUGCCUGAGCCCCUGGUCUCUGCCUCCAGUUCUGCAGGAAUUCUCCAAGGAGGAGCGAGACCCAGUGAAAACUCAUGAAGGCUGGGGGGUGAUGUUGCCCUGUAACCCACCUGCCCACUACCCAGGCUUGUCUUACCGCUGGCUCCUCAACGAGUUCCCCAACUUCAUCCCGACGGACGGGCGUCACUUCGUGUCCCAGGCCACAGGGAACCUGUACAUUGCCCGAACCAAUGCCUCAGACCUGGGCAACUACUCCUGUUUGGCCACCAGCCACAUGGACUUCUCCACCAAGAGCGUCUUCAGCAAGUUUGCUCAGCUCAACCUAGCUGCUGAAGAUACCCGGCUCUUUGCACCCAGCAUCAAGGCCCGGUUCCCAGCAGAGACCUAUGCACUGGUGGGGCAGCAGGUCACCCUGGAGUGCUUCGCCUUUGGGAACCCUGUCCCCCGGAUCAAGUGGCGCAAAGUGGACGGCUCCCUGUCCCCGCAGUGGACCACAGCUGAGCCCACCCUGCAGAUCCCCAGCGUCAGCUUUGAGGAUGAGGGCACCUACGAGUGUGAAGCGGAGAACUCCAAGGGCCGAGACACCGUGCAGGGUCGCAUCAUAGUGCAGGCUCAGCCUGAGUGGCUAAAAGUGAUCUCGGACACAGAGGCUGACAUUGGCUCCAACCUGCGUUGGGGCUGUGCAGCUGCCGGCAAACCCCGGCCUACAGUGCGCUGGCUGCGGAACGGGGAGCCUCUGGCCUCCCAGGUAGGAGACAUGGGGCUUCCUCCCACACAUCACAACUGUCCUCUGCUCACUUGGUUCCCUCACCCCCUAGAACUUCCCCUGCACCACCAGUAGCCCCUCUGGGUUAAUUAGGGUGUCACAGGGUGGUCCUAGGACCACCUGAGGACUUCUUCCCAUCCCAGUCCCAUUGCCACAGGCUGGGCCUGGAUCCAGGCACAGUUCAGCCACAAAAGAAGUGAUGUGGUCCUGACUGGGUCACCUCACCCUUCCAGCUUUGGGGAGGCCUGGGUAAUCUGCAUCCUGAGGUUCCAGGUGGCCCUGAGGUAGGACUCGACAUACGAGCCAUAUCCUCUA
rnacentral:sRNA from 1 species